UUCUGCAAAUUUCGCCGGAUUCUGGAAAUUUUCCGGCCACCUCGACUGUUUUAGGUGAUUGACGGUCUUCCUUGGGUGAGCGGUUUUGGUGUGUAUUGUGUUGAAUUGAAGACGCAGCGGGAAUAUCGAGCGGGUAAUCCUACAGGUCAGGAGAAUCAGGACGGUGAUCGUGCGGGUUAGAGAAUUUGUUUUAGUUUACAGCAAUUGUAAUUGUGAGGUGAGUUAUGCUCAUUUGAGCCUUACAUUAUAAUUUGGUGAGAGUGUGCUGUAAUAAACAAAUUUGAGAUUUGGUUUAUGUAAUAUCGAGCGAUGUGAGGUGUGGUUGUUUUGAGAAAAAAUUCAGGUUGUAUUUAUGUGAGUUGUAUUAAUUCAUGUUUCGGAUUUGAAUUUGUUAUUCAAAAUUCGGGGCGUGACAGUUUGGUAUCAGAGCGUAAGGUACAUAUUUGGUGAUAAUCAGUACUCCCCGAGUGAUGGCCCGUCUGCAGCGGAUCCCCAUCAUAUACUCUUCGGUACUGGUAUAAUCAUUGGGUAUGUCUUAGUAUGGGGUCUAGACAGCGUGUAUGUCUGUAGGACGGUAGAGUUGUCUUCUAAGUUCGUAUUAGAAUAAGUUUAGUUUCCGCAGGUUGUAAUCUUCGAGGAAUAGAGACCUCUAGAUUUAACUCUGAUGAGUCGGUGAGAUUUGUUUUAUGGAAGUGAGGUCCUUUUGGAUGUUGAAGUGUUUGGUUGAAGGCAUGAUGUUGACCUAUGCACGUACCUAGUGUGGAUACGAGUAUGAAUUGUUAUAAAUUUUGUCUUCUUAAGUUGGACGUACAGAUGUUUGGAUGGGAUGUACGUAUCAAGGAUUAAAUAUCUUGUUUUGUAAUGAGAUGUCCUUGUGGAGUUUGUUAGUAGGGUUGAGGUUAGGGAAGAAAUUAUUGUGGUUACUUCUUCCUUGUGCUUGUAAGUUGUUAAGCAGGGUUUAAGGUGCGAGACAAGAAUUUUAUUUUGUGCUCGAGGGUUAGAGAUGAGAGACCAUUGUUUUGGGUUGUCGUUGAGUACUAUAAUUCCUUCAGAAUCAGGAUUGUUGGUAGAAUUGGAAUUAGUAGUAGUUUUGGUGAUUCGGAAUUUGAAUUGAGUUCGCGAGAUGUGUCUUAUAUACGUGGUUGAUGUUGCUUGCAUCAUUUGGAACGAUACGUUACGAUUCACAAGGAAAACUGGAUUUGAAAUUUAUUCAUUUGAACACCAUGGGUUGAUGACCUGACCGUGACUUGUGAAUAUAGUUUUGUUCAAGUGAAUGAAAUUGAAUUUUGUGGCCUUUGUGUGGUGAACUAGUUUUCUUAAGUUUUGGAUCAUAGUAUGGAGAUGGACUGCAGUGAAUUUGAAGUUGUUGUGUGUUUUAAGUUUAAGUAGGCGGGACACUUAAAGUUUUGCAAUGGAGUUGAUUUUGGUGUAAUUAAUUGGGAGAGUUAGAAUCAGUUCUUGUGAAUGAUGUUGGGUGAGAGUGUGUGCCUUUGGUGAUUGAUUUUAGGUGAUAUAGUUAAACGCAAUUUCGG